UACGAAGGGGGGCUAGCGUUGCUCGGAAUCACUGGGCGUAAAGCGCACGUAGGCGGAUUGUUAAGUCAGGGGUGAAAUCCUGGAGCUCAACUCCAGAACUGCCUUUGAUACUGAGGAGCUUGAGUCCGGGAGAGGUGAGUGGAACUGCGAGUGUAGAGGUGAAAUUCGUAGAUAUUCGCAAGAACACCAGUGGCGAAGGCGGCUCACUGGCCCGGUACUGACGCUGAGGUGCGAAAGCGUGGGGAGCAAACAGG
rnacentral:rRNA from 1 species